AGGACGAACGCUGGCGGCGUGCUUAACACAUGCAAGUCGAGCGGAAAGGCCCUUCGGGGUACUCGAGCGGCGAACGGGUGAGUAACACGUGAGCAAUCUGCCCUUAGCUUCGGGAUAGCUCCGGGAAACCGGAAUUAAUACCGAAUAUGACUUCGGCCGACAUCGGCCUUGGUGGAAAGUUUUUCGGCUAGGGAUGAACUCGCGGCCUAUCAGCUUGUUGGUGGGGUAAUGGCCUACCAAGGCGACGACGGGUAGCCGGCCUGAGAGGGCGACCGGCCACACUGGGACUGAGACACGGCCCAGACUCCUACGGGAGGCAGCAGUGGGGAAUAUUGCGCAAUGGGCGAAAGCCUGACGCAGCGACGCCGCGUGGGGGAUGAAGGCCUUCGGGUUGUAAACCCUUUCAGCAGGGACGAAGCGAAGUGACGGUACCUGCAGAAGAAGCGCCGGCUAACUACGCGCCAGCAGCCGC
rnacentral:rRNA from 1 species